GAUGAACGCUGGCGGCGUGCCUAAUACAUGCAAGUCGAGCGAACAGACGAGAUUGCUUGCACUCUCUGACGUUAGCGGCGGAUGGGUGAGUAACACGUGGGUAACCUACCUAUAAGACUGGGAUAACUUCGGGAAACCAGCGCUAAUACCGGAUAAUAUUUAGCUUCGCAUGAAGCAAUAGUGAAAGACGUUUCUGCUGUCACUUAUAGAUGGACCCGCGGUGUAUUAGCUAGUUGGUGAGGUAACGGCUCACCAAGGCCACGAUACAUAGCCGACCUGAGAGGGUGAUCGGCCACACUGGGACUGAGACACGGCCCAGACUCCUACGGGAGGCAGCAGUAGGGAAUCUUCCGCAAAGGGCGAAAGUCUGACGGAGCAAUGCCGCGUGAGUGAAGAAGGUUUUCGGAUCGUAAAACUCUGUUGUAAGGGAAGAACAAGUACGUGAGUAACUGAACGUACCUUGACGGUACCUUACCAGAAAGCCACGGCUAACUACGUG
rnacentral:rRNA from 1 species